AAACAAGUGUCCAACACAGGCGCGCGCUCGCGUGUGAAAGAGAGAACAAACCGCAUCGUAUGUGCAGGGCGUGCGGGAGCAGUACAGCAUGCAUGAGUAGGCAACUUCCCCUGCCAUCAACGAGACUCGACUACGGGUGCGUGCGUGCGUGCAUGCGUGUGCGUCUUUCGAGCUGCGCCGUAUCGGUGUGUGUGUGUGUGUGUUUGCUUUGGUACCAGUUUAGCUCUUUGUUUGGAUUUUGUGGAACCGUUCGAGCCUGUUUGCUGUUGCAUCUCGCUCACUGUGCUUUCAUUCUCUUUCUUUCUUUCUCAUCGCGAGACCAUCGAAAUGCGUGCGGGUUGUUUACGUGUGUGUGUGUGAGUGCGCGUGUGUGGUGCUAUGUGCAGAUUUUUUGUUCACUUCUCUUUCCUUUCUUCGUCUUUCCCUACUGCUCCCUUUCCCCCCUCCCUGGUCUGCGCACACCACUUGGAUGUGUGGAUAAUUCGGAACGAAAUUGAUUAUGCGGACGCUUUCCGCGGAUGACUAGACUGGAGCGUGUGUAUUAUCUAAGCGUAUUACUAAACCUGCAGGGUGUGAUAAUUAGCAUCGUCAAGGAAGUGGAAAAGAAGGCUGUUGAUUGUUGAAUACCAUUAGAACAAGAAGAAGAAGAAAUUAAUUUACAAGAAAAAAAAGGACACUAGUGACUGGGAAAAAUGAAGUUUUCGUCGGAAUCGAUUCCGGCUAGCUCUGCAGUUUUCUGGAAUAGAUUAAGGAUAGUAGGCCCAGAAUCUGUGUCCGGAAUCGGAAUCGGCUCCGGAAUCAGAAUCGGCUUUGGAAUUGAAAUCGGGUUUGGUUCCGGAAUUGGCUCCAGAAUAGACUCGGUUCCGGAAUCGAAAUCGGCUCCGGAAUGGUAAUUGACUCUGAAAUCAGAAUCGUCUUCGAAACGGAUUCGGAUUCGACAUAUCCAUAAGAAUAGGCGUUUGGGUCCAAUGAUGCUACGUAUUAAUAACUGCAAAGAAUCAAAAUUUAUUUGUAAACGAUCCAUUCUCCUGGAGAUGCCCGAACUGGUUUCGCUUCAGAAACUUCGUAUUUCAAUUCAAGAACUGAUUCUCAUUCCGGAGCAAAUUACAUUUCUGGAGUCCAACCUGAUUCCGUUGCCGGAGCGAAUUGCGUUUCUAAGGUCGAUUCCGAUUCCGGAGCCGAUUCUAAUUACGGAGCUGAUUCCGAUCCCGGAAUCGAUUCCGGAGCCGACUCCCACCACUAAUUGACACCCUGUCGAAACGAUUUCUUCACUCCUCGGUACGAGCGUGUGUGUGUGUGUGGAUGUGUGUACCUGUGUGCCAUCGUAAUAGAAAUAGGAUACAUUUUUUUUUAAAUUAUUACCUUUGACACCUGAUAAAUGGAGGCCGCACUGGCAGAAAGAGAAGUCUUGCCAACUUGCCAUAUUCCUUGUACACGACACUGGUAAGCUUAGGUAUCCCGCAGGAUAACAAUGAAAACGAUGGUACCUUGGAAGAAAAUCAUUGCCGAGGGAGCAGAAUCACAGAGGAAACCUUCCAAACCACUGGGAGUAAAAGCCCUGAUGAUCCUUUUGGCUCGUUUGCAUAACCGUGACGCACGAGCAAAGGCGUCAGAUCAGAUGAUCCCCGAACCGGGCUGACAAACUUCCCCCUCGUAAGGAUGAAAAAAGAGGAAUAAAGCAACACAUACACACACAUUCUCGUGAUCCGGUUGGUGAUCGGUUCGAAGAUCGGUUAUUGGCUUCCUUUUUUUUGGCAUUCCACCAUCCAUCCAGCCCUGUGUGCGCCCCCCUCCCCCCAAACAGGACUCAUGACACGCCAGGUCCAUUACGGGAUGCCGAAAUUCGCUUGCCUGUGCGCUAGAAGAUGGAAGAAGGGGUAUGGUUCAUUAAAUCAUGUAGGUUGUCGGAGCGGUUUCAGGUAAGAGCUGGUAUGAAAUAUUUUCUGCAAGCAUACAUUGUGAGAUGCAAAGGGUUGCAACGGGGGGAAUCUUGCCCUGAGAGGGUUUAAUAUUUACUUUUAAUUGUAGGACGCGUUUUGGGAUGCUUUUUUAUGUUCGUCAAAACGCUGCAACUACUCCGCAAAAGGCUAUGCUACAGUGAGAGCAUCUUGCUUGGGAAAUAAGACUUUCGGGAGAAGAUGAUCCUCUUCCAACUGUGGGCUGCGGAGGAUAAUGUGUUUGGGGCAAACUUGCUUUCCCGAAUCGAGCGGUUGUGGAUACGUGGAACGACUGUUUUUUUUUAUUUUGUUCGAUGUGUUGCUUUCUUUCUACCACCUUUUUAGUAUGUAUUGAUCACCAUUUCGCGCGCGACGUCGAUGCCGAUGCGAUUCAAGGUUAAUUUAUUCAUAAACAUGCGGCUUUUUUGUUUGGUUUCGUUUGCUUUAGCUCUAUUGCAACCCUUCCUUUCCGAGCCCCAAACUGUGUUCGCACCCGGUUUUGUGCGGGGAGUCCGUUUCACAAUGCGCGCCCGAUAUUUUCAAUUUAUAAAAGUUUCAGUUUCGGUGCACGAUUCACGCAACAGCAUGGCCAGACGGGCCAUGUAGCAAAAAACAAAAAAAAAAAAAAACGGUCACCUCGCGGUAAUGUCUGCGCCGAAAACGGGGGGCGGGUUGGUGGGAUGGUGAAAACUGAAAUGAAAUGAAUUUUCAAACCUUCUUCCAUGCUCCGACCGAAAAUGUGUGGUAAAACAAAGCCAUGAAAUACAAGCAUAAUAAAGUAACAGCAAAAAAGCCAUCCACUCCGAGACACAUACACACACAUGUCGGGGUAUAUGGAGUGAAUGCCGGGGUCUGUUUCAGUACGAUAAGAUAUAGCCAGCGGCGGGGAUGAUGGGAAAGGGGGUGUUCGGCAGCCAAGCGACGACCCCCAAAACGAUCGCCAAAAGGGGGAUGAAACGGACACAGAAAUGAAUUUUACGAAUCGAUACACCCGGCUCUAUGCGCGUUUGGAGUGCGAAGUCACGUAGCCGCCGCGCACCAGUCGCACUGUUGUGCGCCUGCGACCUAGCCGGUUCCUGUGCGCCGAAGGUCUCGCUGCUGGCGAAGAACCUCCAGCAAUGUCUGAAAGGAUCAUUUUCGUGUAUCGAGAGGGGCAUGAUGGCAAAAAAAAAUCGGAAAGGAGUGCAGAGUCCGUUAGUUUGUGGGCAAAUGGGUCCUAGACGAGAGAGGUCUCGAGCCCACUCAGGGACCCCCGAAAAAUUAUAGGGGUUGUCGGUGUAGGGAUCGCCACGUUUGACACAGCGGAGCGCGGGUCCGUGCAUAUUAGCCCGUCCGAAGCAAACCUUACCUGAGAGCCAUGCGCGCGCUUGCGGUUUGAUCUACGAGCCUAAUCUAUUAAUAUAAUGGUCAGUUGCGCGAGUUGGAGGACUACAGAGGCACCACCCGCUUCAACGUGCGAAGGGAGAGAGGCUGCGGUCAGAGCAAUAAAUUUUGGACGUUGCUUCUUGCUUUAUUGCCGGCCCCAUGUGUAGCCGCCCAGAGCCACCGGUAUCAUUAGGCAUAGGGAUUUUUCGGUAUGGUUGCGUACCGCGUACUCCACGCCGAAACCUCGCCAACAACCUCACGGUGUGAGACCUUUU